UACGAAGGGGGCGAGCGUUGUUCGGAAUUACUGGGCGUAAAGGGCGCGUAGGCGGCUUGGUCAGUCCCGUGUGAAAUCCCUCGGCUCAACUGAGGAACUGCACGGGAAACUGCCUGGCUUGAGUUCGGGAGGAGGGAAGCGGAAUUCCGGGUGUAGCGGUGAAAUGCGUAGAUGAUCCGGAGGAACACCGGUGGGCGAAGGCGGCCUUCC
rnacentral:rRNA from 1 species